CAUUGAAAGAGUCUGGAGAGCCUCUUGUUGUUUCUGUUUCUAUCUCUGAGAUUACUAGUCUUAGUAGUGCUCGCUUGUACCUGUCGAAGGACCUUUUGCCUUUGGAAGUUCGAGAGAACACCUUAAAGAAGGUUUUAGAAAUUCUAUCUAGAAAUCCUACUGGACUGCCACUAGAUCCUGAAGGAGAUAUGAAGAUCCAAAGUAACUCAUACAAAAAGGCAGUCCGACGGAUAGAGGCUUUAGAGCACCUCUUUGAGAAGCAUGAAAUUGCAAAAUCUCCCCUUAUCGAGCAAAAACUCAAAGUUUUACACAAGAAGCAAGAAUUAACAGCCAAGAUUAAGUCAAUCAAGAAAACAAUGCGUUCUUCCACAUCUUUGGCUUUCAAAGAUGAACUUAAAGCCAGAAAAAGAGUUCUUCGGAGGCUAGGAUAUGUUACAAGUGACGAUGUAGUGGAGUUGAAAGGAAAAGUAGCUUGUGAAAUUAGUAGUGCAGAUGAGUUGACCUUGACAGAGCUCAUGUUCAAUGGUGUUUUAAAGGACAUAAAGGUGGAGGAGAUGAUAUCUCUUCUUUCAUGUUUUGUGUGGCAAGAAAAGCUCCAGGAUGCUGCAAAACCUAGGGAAGAACUUGACUUGCUCUUUUCACAAUUACAAGAUACAGCUCGAAGAGUUGCCAAACUUCAGCUUGAAUGCAAGGUCCAAAUUGAUGUGGAGAAUUUUGUGAGUUCAUUUCGGCCUGAUAUUAUGGAGGCUGUAUAUGCUUGGGCAAAAGGAUCCAAAUUCUAUGAAAUCAUGGAAAUUACACAGGUUUUUGAGGGGAGUUUGAUCAGGGCAAUUAGGAGAUUGGAGGAAGUUCUUCAGCAGCUUAUACAAGCAGCAAAAUCCAUUGGCGAAACAGAGCUGGAGGCAAAAUUUGAAGAGGCUGUUUCAAAAAUCAAGAGAGACAUAGUGUUUGCAGCAUCUUUAUACUUAUAGUUAACUAGAGGUUUAAUUUCCUCCACGAUGCCGGAGAAAAUGGAAAAGGGUCUAAAUGAAGAUGGGCUGAAGCAUUGAAUUUACAUGGUCUGAAGCAAAUUCAU
rnacentral:misc_RNA from 1 species